AACGAACGCUGGCGGCAGGCUUAACACAUGCAAGUCGAGCGCUCCGCAAGGGGAGCGGCAGACGGGUGAGUAACGCGUGGGAAUCUACCCAUCUCUACGGAAUAACGCAUGGAAACGUGUGCUAAUACCGUAUACGUCCUUCGGGAGAAAGAUUUAUCGGAGAUGGAUGAGCCCGCGUUGGAUUAGCUAGUUGGUGGGGUAAAGGCCUACCAAGGCGACGAUCCAUAGCCGGUCUGAGAGGAUGAUCAGCCACACUGGGACUGAGACACGGCCCAGACUCCUACGGGAGGCAGCAGUGGGGAAGAUUGGACAAUGGGCGCAAGCCUGAUCCAGCCAUGCCGCGUGAGUUAUGAAGGCCCUAGGGUUGUAAAGCUCUUUCCCCGGUGAAGAUAAUGACGGUAACCGGAGAAGAAGCCCCGGCUAACUUCGUGCCAGCAGCCGCCGUAACAC
rnacentral:rRNA from 1 species